UACGGGGGGAGCAAGCGUUGUUCGGAUUUACUGGGCGUAAAGGGCGCGUAGGCGGCCAGCACAAGUCAGUUGUGAAAUCUCCGAGCUUAACUCGGAAAGGUCAACUGAUACUGUGCGGCUAGAGUGCAGAAGGGGCAACUGGAAUUCUUGGUGUAGCGGUGAAAUGCGUAGAUAUCAAGAGGAACACCGGUGGCGAAGGCGGUUCUCUGGGCAUUACCUGACGCUGAGGAGCGAAAGUGUGGGGAGCGAACAGG
rnacentral:rRNA from 1 species